CCUACGGGAGGCAGCAGUGGGGAAUCUUCCACAAUGGACGAAAGCCUGAUGCAGCAACGCCGCGUGAGGGAAGAAGGGGUUCGGCUCGUAAAGCUCUGUUGGUAGUGAAGAAAGAUAGAGGUAGUAACUGGCCUUUAUUUGACGGUAAUUACUUAGAAAGUCCCGGCUAACUACGUGCCAGCAGCCGCGGGUAUACGUAGGUGGCAAGCGUUGUCCGGAUUUAUUGGGCGUAAAGCGAGUGCAGGCGGUUCAAUAAGUCUGAUGGGAAAGCCUUCGGCUCAAACGGCGAAUUGCAUCAGAAACGGUUGAACUUGAGUGAAGAAGAGGAGAGUGGAAUGCCAUGUGUAGCGGUGGAAUGCGUAGAUAUAUGGAAGAACACCAGUGGCGAAGGCGGCUCUCUGGGCUGCAACUGACGCUGAGGCUCGAAAGCAUGGGUAGCGAACAGGAUUAGAUACCCGAGUAGUC
rnacentral:rRNA from 1 species